GGUCAUACACCACGCAGGGGUAGAGGACCGUGGCGCCCCGAGUAGCUGGGAUCCUCCAGCUUCAGCUUCCUUAGUGCUGAGACGACAGGCGUCUUCUCACCCAGCUAAACAGAACUGCUCAUUUACAGAUGAGGACAAUGAUUUAUUGUUGAAAAUGCCAACUGAUGUCCAUGGAAAAGCAAAACCAACAAAAUCACUAAGGAUUCUGUCAUUUAUGUUUUUGGAAGACAUGAUGUGAUCACAAGGAGAGGACAUAAAAACAUUACUCGUCGGGUAGACUAUAUAAAAGAGAUCCCUCUGGCUGCAAUAAACUCACAACAUCGAGACGGUUUGUAACUUGGCCCAUCAGUUUGCUGAACACUUACUAAGAAGUAAUGUCUGUCACAAGGGCAAGCACUGAGAAAUAGUUCCUCUAUGAUGGCUUAGCAGCCAAAACCUGUGAUUUCACUAAAGCCUGAAGUGUCUGCUGAGGAAGCCCAGUGGGCUUCGGGAGCACUUGAGUAAGUCCUAAAACUAGUCCAGAGGACCUGAGGACGAGAUAAUUAAGUUAGAGCCUUUCAGAUGAGAGCAUCGUCCACAGGAGGGAGGACCUCAAGGCCCCUUCGACUUGCUGGCACAAGUAGUGGUCCUGAAGCAGAGAAGACCGACGCUUAGUAGGGUCACUUGCAUGUUACUGUAAGGACAAGGAUAACUCUGAAAGUUCCAGGCAAAAAAAAUAGACAAAACUAGUCACCAAAGUCAAAAGACCCAGUGAAACUUGAUUUGAAACGUAUGUGGAAGGGAGACACCGCUCGCUCUGCUCCUACUCAUAACUGAAGUCUGUCUCUAUUGGCUCUGCUAGUUGUAGAUCGACUAUUGUACACAUAAGGGUUAUAAAAAUAUCAGGCUUCUUAUUUACAACAAGGGUGUCUCUAUCUACUCCCAACCCUCACUUCUAAACCAGCCCCUAAUGCUGCAAAGCUGGUGCACGGCCAUGCUGGAGCCAAGCCUGAAUAAGAUCAGAGGGUUUAGUGAAGAGAUAAUUGGAGUGAGGUGAGGCCUUCUGCUUGAACUUUGAGUUGGAAACCGGGUGUGGGUGGUGUCACAAAAUAGCAAUACUUACUUUGUUUUGGCGCCAGCCCAGAAGAAUCUGAACACUUUCCCACACGCAGACCUUCACCUCUGACCUGAAUCUUGAAGACAAUUUUAGAAACUAUAAUCUGCUGUUGCUCACCUAUAAAGCUGGAGCCAGCUCGGAAGCAAUGGGAAAAAAAAAAAAUCAGAGAAUUCUGGAAUGCCACAAUGGGACUGGCCCAGCGGUGUAAGCGCCCACAGCUACACUCUCGCCUCUUGGCAGGCUGCUAGCAUAGGUAUUUGGACUAAAAGAGUAUCUGGCUCUUUUGACAAAAGGAAACAAAGAAUUGAACAUUUUAAACAUAUACUCUUGGUAAAUUUACCUUAGGCCCCCUGCCCCAUCUUUUGCUCCUGGUGUCUACAGCCUUUAAAAACGUUGAUAUAUGAUUAAAAUGCCUUGUUUUCCUUAAGAUGACUAUUCUGUUAUAAUGGAUAUUCAGUUAUACUUAGUGUAUUCUAACUUGAAAAACACCAUUGGCUACAGUCACCCAUGAACACCUUACUUGGUAGAAUACAGUGGCAGAAGAGAGCAAAUUCUAACUACUAAGAAUUCUCCUAUUUUUAAUCAUUAUAAUAAUUUUACAGCUUCAGGGACAUCCACAUUUUUAAUUUUUCCUAACAGCGAUAUAUAAUCGUUUUUCCAUAACUCCACACUAAUUGAGAAGAUAUUUUAGAUAAAUACAAACCACUCGCUUAUCCCUAGAAUCUCUCCCAUAUUCCCUAUCAACCGUGUGACUAUCUAAAAGCAUUUAUGCGCCACAGAAAAGUUCUCGAGAGCCUGAUGAUACACCGUGACAUCCUAUAAAGAUCUCCACGGCCACAUGCAAGGUGACCCUCUUGUUCAGGACUGAAAGUAAAGACUGCUCAAAGCAAAGACUGUUCUGAGGUCUACUUUCCAUGUCUAGUUCUCCCUACCGUACUGUAUGUUGUCUGAUCAUGUUAGCCAAGGCUGUGAGACACGUGGGUCAGCAAAAGGCACCCUUUGUCUGGGUUUAAAUCAAUAUGAUGGCCCUCACAGUUUUACCAAGCCAAUGCAUAGACAUUGUAAAGCUCAAACAGAGAACAUAUUUGGAAGUGUUUGCAAAUGUUUUAAGUGCUUCCCGAAAGUAGCGUUGCCUUGACAAUCCUGCCUGACCAGGAGAGAGGCUUGCGCUUUUUUUUUUCUUCUCCCAAAAAUGUUGAAAUCAUGACUUGUUUUUAGAUCAUAGAAGCGAAAAUUAUACAGGCGGUUACUGAAAAAUAGAUACUGAAGGGUUUUCACUCCAUCUAGUCUGUGGCUGGCAGCGGUGGUUAAGGGGUUCCCAUCAGCAGGUAGAAGGUCAGGGCGACAAUGAGAAGCAGACAAAAUGGCGAGGAGAAGGUCUGGUAGGCAGCCGACGGCAUGAAAAUGUCUUCGUACUUGUAAAUACUGACAACGCGCUCUGAAGCCGGUGGAGAGUCUAUGUCGUGACGAGUGAUGGCGCCUUUAACAUAGAAGUAGGGGAGGACCCAUCAAAAGCAGCACAGAACUAAAGGGCAGAGACAAACACUAAAUGCAUAUGUUUAUAAAAUCUGGAUUCAGGUACAGAGCCAGCAUCAGAACUCUCUGUAACUGCUCGUAUGAAGGAGAGCACAGAAAUCCUUUCUCUUUACACCCAAAGAGAGUUCUUAUUGAUCUGCAGUCACCCCGAGAUCAGACAACCCACUGAUCUCUCUGUCCUGUGGCAGCCAGUCUUAAUAUUUACUUGUGUGAACUGAAUGGGUUUCUACUUGUCUCUAAUAAAUUCAAACUUCUUGAUUUCAAA
rnacentral:lncRNA from 1 species